rnacentral:rRNA from 1 species
UACGAAGGGUGCAAGCGUUACUCGGAAUUACUGGGCGUAAAGCGUGCGUAGGUGGUGAGUUAAGUCGCGUGUGAAAGCCCCCGGCUCAACUGGGGAGGGUCACGCGAUACUGCUCGACUCGAAGGCAGGAGAGGGAAGUGGAAUUCCCGGUGUAGUGGUGAAAUGCGUAGAUAUCGGGAGGAACACCAGUGGCGAAGGCGACUUCCUGGCCUGUUCUUGACGCUGAGGCGCGAAAGCUAGGGUAGCAAACAGG